rnacentral:tRNA from 1 species
GUCGGGAUAGCUCAGUGGAGAGCA